rnacentral:rRNA from 1 species
UAAGACGAGCUCUCCAAACGUUAUUCGGUAUCACUGGGCUUAAAGAGUUCGUAGGCGGCUUUGUAGGUGAGGUGUGAAAGCCCUCGGCUUAACCGAGGAACUGCGCUUCAAACCGCAAGGCUAGAGGGAGAUAGGGGUAAGCGGAACAGAUGGUGGAGCGGUGAAAUGCAUUGAUAUCAUCUGGAACACCGGUGGCGAAAGCGGCUUACUGGAUCUUUUCUGACGCUGAGGAACGAAAGCUAGGGUAGCGAACGGG